rnacentral:rRNA from 1 species
AAACCGGAGGAAGGUGGGGAUGACGUCAAGUCCUCAUGGCCCUUAUGACCAGGGCUUCACACGUCAUACAAUGGUCGGUACAGAGGGUCGCUAACCCGCGAGGGGGUGCCAAUCUCACAAAACCGAUCGUAGUCCGGAUUGCACUCUGCAACUCGAGUGCAUGAAGUCGGAAUCGCUAGUAAUCGCGGAUCAGCAUGCCGCGGUGAAUACGUUCCCGGGCCUUGUACACACCGCCCGUCACACCAUGGGAGUGGGUUUCACCAGAAGUAGGUAGGCUAACCGUAAGGAGGCCGCUUACCACGGUGGGAUUCAUGACUGGGGUGAAGUCGUAACAAGGUAGCCGU